UACGUAGGGACCAAGCGUUGUUCGGAUUUACUGGGCGUAAAGGGCGCGUAGGCGGCGUGUUAAGUCAGCUGUGAAAUCUCCAAGCUUAACUUGGAACGGUCAGCUGAUACUGAUGUGCUAGAGUGCAGAAAGGGCAAUCGGAAUUCUUGGUGUAGCGGUGAAAUGCGUAGAUAUCAAGAGGAACACCUGAGGCGAAGGCGGGUUGCUAGGCUGACACUGACGCUGAGGCGCGAAAGCCAGGGGAGCGAACGGG
rnacentral:rRNA from 1 species